AUUGAACGCUGGCGGCCGGCCUAACACAUGCACGUCGAACGAGUGGCGGACGGGUGCGUAAUGUCUGGGAAACUGCCUGAUGGAGGGGGAUAACUACUGGAAACGGUAGCUAAUACCGCAUACCAUCAGAUGUGCCCAUAUGGGAUUUGCUAGUUGGUGGGGUAACGGCUCACCAAGGCGACGAUCCCUAGCUGGUCUGCGAGGAUGACCAGCCACACUGGACCUGCGACACGGUCCAACAUCCUACGGGAGGCAGCAGAGGGGAACAUUGCACAAUGGGCGCAAGCCUGAUGCAGCCAUGCCGCGUGUAUGAAGAAGGCCGUCGGGUUGUAAAGGACUUUCAGCGGGGAGGCGUUACCCGCAGAAGAAGCACCGGCUAACUCCGUGCCAGCAGCCGCGGUAAUAC
rnacentral:rRNA from 1 species